rnacentral:rRNA from 1 species
AUAAUGGGUCAGCGACUUAUAUUCUGUAGCAAGGUUAACCGAAUAGGGGAGCCGAAGGGAAACCGAGUCUUAACUGGGCGUUAAGUUGCAGGGUAUAGACCCGAAACCCGGUGAUCUAGCCAUGGGCAGGUUGAAGGUUGGGUAACACUAACUGGAGGACCGAACCGACUAAUGUUGAAAAAUUAGCGGAUGACUUGUGGCUGGGGGUGAAAGGCCAAUCAAACCGGGAGAUAGCUGGUUCUCCCCGAAAGCUAUUUAGGUAGCGCCUCGUGAAUUCAUCUCCGGGGGUAGAGCACUGUUUCGGCAAGGGGGUCAUCCCGACUUACCAACCCGAUGCAAACUGCGAAUACCGGAGAAUGUUAUCACGGGAGACACACGGCGGGUGCUAACGUCCGUCGUGAAGAGGGAAACAACCCAGACCGCCAGCUAAGGUCCCAAAGUCAUGGUUAAGUGGGAAACGAUGUGGGAAGGCCCAGACAGCCAGGAUGUUGGCUUAGAAGCAGCCAUCAUUUAAAGAAAGCGUAAUAGCUCACUGGUCGAGUCGGCCUGCGCGGAAGAUGUAACGGGGCUAAACCAUGCACCGAAGCUGCGGCAGCGACGCUGAUGCGUUGUUGGGUAGGGGAGCGUUCUGUAAGCCUGUGAAGGUGUGCUGUGAGGCAUGCUGGAGGUAUCAGAAGUGCGAAUGCUGACAUAAGUAACGAUAAAGCGGGUGAAAAGCCCGCUCGCCGGAAGACCAAGGGUUCCUGUCCAACGUUAAUCGGGGCAGGGUGAGUCGACCCCUAAGGCGAGGCCGAAAGGCGUAGUCGAUGGGAAACAGGUUAAUAUUCCUGUACUUGGUGUUACUGCGAAGGGGGGACGGAGAAGGCUAUGUUGGCCGGGCGACGGUUGUCCCGGUUUAAGCGUGUAGGCUGGUUUUCCAGGCAAAUCCGGAAAAUCAAGGCUGAGGCGUGAUGACGAGGCACUACGGUGCUGAAGCAACAAAUGCCCUGCUUCCAGGAAAAGCCUCUAAGCAUCAGGUAACAUCAAAUCGUACCCCAAACCGACACAGGUGGUCAGGUAGAGAAUACCAAGGCGCUUGAGAGAACUCGGGUGAAGGAACUAGGCAAAAUGGUGCCGUAACUUCGGGAGAAGGCACGCUGAUAUGUAGGUGAAGUCCCUCGCGGAUGGAGCUGAAAUCAGUCGAAGAUACCAGCUGGCUGCAACUGUUUAUUAAAAACACAGCACUGUGCAAACACGAAAGUGGACGUAUACGGUGUGACGCCUGCCCGGUGCCGGAAGGUUAAUUGAUGGGGUCAGCGCAAGCGAAGCUCUUGAUCGAAGCCCCGGUAAACGGCGGCCGUAACUAUAACGGUCCUAAGGUAGCGAAAUUCCUUGUCGGGUAAGUUCCGACCUGCACGAAUGGCGUAAUGAUGGCCAGGCUGUCUCCACCCGAGACUCAGUGAAAUUGAACUCGCUGUGAAGAUGCAGUGUACCCGCGGCAAGACGGAAAGACCCCGUGAACCUUUACUAUAGCUUGACACUGAACAUUGAGCCUUGAUGUGUAGGAUAGGUGGGAGGCUUUGAAGUGUGGACGCCAGUCUGCAUGGAGCCGGCCUUGAAAUACCACCCUUUAAUGUUUGAUGUUCUAACGUUGACCCGU